rnacentral:lncRNA from 1 species
AUUUCCUUGACCUUUACACAGAGGCUUGCCAAUUCUGGUCUAGAAUCAUGAGGUACAGCUUAUUCUACAGCUCAGUGCUUGUUGUCAUCAGCAUAAGUAGGAGACCUUAAGAGGAUUAGAGAGGAGCACAGAUCCGCACUGAACUGAGAUGCUGGCUCAUGGUUUCCUUUUAUCUACACCCAAGGAGCUAUGGAGGCGAGACCAGGCCCUUCACUGGUAAAGGAGAUGCACGGGAGAAUUCAUGAAAGCACCUGGAGGAGAUGAAUACAGAAGACACAACCAGUGGCAUCAGGCAGCUUCCAUGUUGACAUUCUAAGCUGAGUGGCUGUAAUGGGGAAGUCUCUGCAUUAUUACUGAAGGUCUCCGUGAAUUUUAAAAGAAGACGGCGUUCUUAAUUCCUAAAAACUUGCCUUGUGAUAAAAGGAGCUGGGCUAACAAAGGCGAAUGAAAAUCCAUCCACAAAGAAACAGCCCUACCCGAAUGUAGUAACUAUGACUUAAAAUUGACUCGGUGUUUCUUACUACUGUUCAGUGAUUAGCAAUUGUUAUCCAAGACUAACAUGAAUAAAGGCCGGGG